rfam:Aeromonas schubertii strain ATCC 43700 Scaffold16, whole genome shotgun sequence.
GAGCGCACUGGAAGCUGUAAUUCAGGGGCGGUAGCGUG